UACGUAGGUGGCAAGCGUUGUCCGGAUUUACUGGGCGUAAAGGGCGUGCAGGCGGUUUGUUAAGUGCAGGGUGAAAGCUCCCGGCUCAACUGGGAGAGGUCCUUACAUACUGGCAAACUCGAGGGAGGCAGAGGAAAGUGGAAUUCCCGGUGUAGUGGUGAUAUGCGUAGAUAUCGGGAGGAACACCUGUGGCGAAGGCGGCUUUCUGGGCCUUACCUGACGCUGAGACGCGAAAGCGUGGGGAGCGAACCGG
rnacentral:rRNA from 1 species